AUGUAUCCCAUUGCUUGGGCAGCAGUUGAGGUGGAAAAUAAGGACUCCUAGUUCUGGUUUAUGGCAUUGUUAAAUAAAAACUUGGAGAUUUCAAACCAAGGUGAAGGCUGGGUGUUUAUAUCAGAUCAGCAGAAAGGUCUAAUCAAUGCAAUUUCAAAGGUUGUACCAAGAGCUGAACACAGAAAUUGUGCUAGGCACAUAUAUGCUAACUAG
rnacentral:rRNA from 1 species